rnacentral:lncRNA from 1 species
AAUCCUUAGUUAUGCUUAUGCUCCUAGAGAUAUUUGGGGGAAAAGAAAUCCCCGAAUGUAAAAGUGCGCGAUUUGGGGUCCAACAGAUGGAGAAUUCUAGAAGAACAAGUAACACAAGGACUAGAUCAUUUAUUGUUAACAGCUGGGUCGCCUAGAUCUCGAAACCAAAGAUUUGAUAUCUACGCGGGUGACAGUGCGAUCAACUCAAACAGAGGAACUGCUGAGAUUGUUCCCUUAAAGAAGAAUCAGCCAUCCAAUCCUUUCAAUCGAUAACCAAGGCAGAGCGGAGGAGAAACGACGGAAUCUUGGACGAACAGGGUAAGGAAAGGCGGGGAGAUCGCCGGCACCGCACUCACAGGCGUUCGACGCGGCUGGCCUGGUUGCAGGUGACGUGGAACCAGGUGCAGGGGUUGACGAGCGUGGGGUCCCAGCUCUGCAGCACGCCGUUGGGGUCCCUGAGGCGCUGCCGCAGCGCGUAGAGCGCGUCCCCCUCGUCGUUGGACGCGUAGACGACGCCGUGGGUGGCGGCGACGGCGAGGAGCGCCGCGAGGGCCACGGCGCGAGCCGCCAUCGGAGACGGAAACCAGCCGGGGAGAGGGAGCGAGGAGGAGGAGGAGGAGGAGGGCAGG